rnacentral:rRNA from 1 species
GACGAACGCUGGCGGCGUGCUUAACACAUGCAAGUCGAACGCUGAAGACCUGGCUUUUGUUGGGUUGGAUGAGUGGCGAACGGGUGAGUAACACGUGAGUAACCUGCCCUCUUCUUUGGGAUAACGCCCGGAAACGGGUGCUAAUACUGGAUAUUCACUGAUCUUCGCAUGGGGGUUGGUGGAAAGGUUUGUUCUGGGGGGGGAUGGGCUCGCGGCCUAUCAGCUUGUUGGUGGGGUGAUGGCCUACCAAGGCUUUGACGGGUAGCCGGCCUGAGAGGGUGACCGGUCACAUUGGGACUGAGAUACGGCCCAGACUCCUACGGGAGGCAGCAGUGGGGAAUAUUGCACAAUGGGCGAAAGCCUGAUGCAGCGACGCCGCGUGAGGGAUGGAGGCCUUCGGGUUGUAAACCUCUUUCGCUCAUGGUCAAGCCGCAACUGUGGGUUGUGGUGAGGGUAGUGGGUAAAGAAGCGCCGGCUAACUACGUG